GGACCGAGACGGCCCACGACUCGAGACCUAGCUCCUGCCGCCGACCACCAUCUCCGUCUCCUCCUCCUCCUCCCCGCCGCUUACCGGACUGCAGGUCGUCCGAUUCGAGCUCUUCCGCCGACCAACCCUAGCCUGCCUGAUUCCGCCCUACUGACUCCUUGCAUUUCAUCCAGUGAGUCUGGUGGUGCGGCUGCUUUGCUUAGUGGAGCGCCGCCAUGUUCGAGCCAACGACCCCCGCCCUUGCUGGGAAGGGCUUCGGGGCGCGGCACCGCUGGAAGAUGCUUCUCUCGCUGGGGCUGGGCGUCGCCGGCGCCGGCUACGCCGCCUACCGCUUCUACAACGCGCACCAGAAGAAGCUAGUCCAGGUGGAGGAGGAGGAGGAUAUCAUCAAGCAACAGUUGCAAGGCCAGUUUGAAGAGGUGAAGGAGGAGCAGGAGGAAGGGAAGGAGGAGCAAGAGGAGCAAGGGGAGGAGGAGGAGCAGCAGCAGCAGCAAGUUCUUCCUCCUUUGCCGGAGGCAGACAGAGAUCGGAAGUCUUACUACUACCACAGCUGGGAUCACGUUCUACCUCCACCAACAUUGCAGCUCGCAAGUAGUCUGCCUCGCAUCCCCAGACAACCACACAAGACAAAAUGGAGUUAAAAGCAAAUGGAGCCUCAGACUGGCAUCCCAGCUUUCUUACUCCCAAGUGAUGUUGUGCUGGAGCCGCAGCAUCGGGCGUACGCUCACGGUCUGUCGAUAACGUAUGGCUCAGCCCAGACGCUUCCACUUACUCAGGAGCCGUGGACCGAAGAGGCGAUUGCUCAAGGGCUUUGCCGUGACUCGACACGUGACCUGUUUGAGAAGGUAGCUGGUGUGGGUCCCAUCUGUCAGCUCUAUCUUGUUCCUCCUCACCCCGUUGUUGCAUGCGUGCUCUAACUCUCAAGACAUGGGCAGUCGUCUAUGGUUGGUUGCAGUUGGCGAUUAACUCACUGACGAGAUGAAAUUUUUCGCCUGUAACGCCAUCGGACGUCCCUAUGCUCAAGUUGGUGUGGAAGUGAUUUUGAUGAGCUGAAAGAUAUUGGGAUGAAGGUUGUAAAAAUAUGUGGCAGGUUACCACUUGCUAUUAAAGUUAUGGGUGGAGUCUUAAGCAGAAGAGAUCCUAUGGAACGUGACUCGGAGAUUGUUUUACACAAGAAUCUUGGCUGGAAAGAAGAAGACGGGUCACAAGAGGAACUAAACUACUCAGUAAGCUUAAGCUACGAUGAUUUAUCUCCAAAGUGGAAGCAAUGCUUUCUGUACUACUGACUUUUGCCAAAGGGUUCAGGUUUUGAAAAGGAUACAGUUAUUAGCAUGUGGAUAAGUGAAGAGUUUGUUCAACAUGAUGGUAGGUCGGGGUCAGACCUACUAUUAUCAUGUCGAACAAAUAGGGGCUGGGGCUGAUUAUCAUUGGGAGUUAGUCGCGAGGAAUCUUUUGGAGCCCGAUGAUUCAAAUGAGAACAUAUGGGAGUACACCUUGCAUGAUGCCGUCCGCUCAUUUGCUCAAUUUAUGGCUAAGGAAGAAGCAUUGGUGGUUCACAAGGAUGAAGGUGACAUAAGAAAUCUUCUUUCGGAAAACCAAAAAUUUCACCAUCUCUGUAUAUUUCAUCCCAAAGUAGAGUUGAGCAUCCUAGAGAAGCAAGAAACAUUGAGGACAUUAUUAUUGAUAGACUAUGAGCUCGAUUAAACCUGGUGGUUCAUUGGCAAAUUUUGCUAGUCUACGGGUAUUGGAUAUAGAUGCUCCAGCCAUCGAGCAUGUCGGGCCUGACUUCCAGACCCAUGAUGCAGCAACGGGAGACAGAGGUGUCGCAUUCCCCAGUCUGAGAGAAUUAGAGUUACGAGGGCUGUCCGGAUGGAAGGAGUGGGGCUGGGAGGAGGAGCAGAGCAGAGCAGUGUCAUAGCCAUGCCAGCUCUGGAGCUUCUCUACCUCAGGGACUGCAAGCUGACACACCUUCCCCGAGGACUUGCUAGUGACCGCAGGCAUAAUCUGAGAACCAUGCAUUGUGCGUCCUAGAAUAUGUGGAGAACUUUCCUUGGGUUGUGGAGCUGAAUGUGUACUAGUGCCCUGAGAUGAAGCGGAUCAGCGGAUUGCCCAAAGGCCAAAGCUGAAGCUGCUGGAGGGCGUUCUGGCACUGGACAGCAUGGAGCUGGAUUGGGAACACUGGGAGGUUGCUGGACCAGAUGCCAGGUGCACACCCAAGGCCAAGACCAAGUGCCGCCUGAGCUCCCAGAAGACCUUCCUGGUUAUAAGAGAAUCAGGUGGGCAUGCAUGCAGCUUUGAACUCACUCACUUACAAUUAAUUUCAUCUGUCCCUCUGGACUUGACUCCACCUGCUGUAUGUAAAUUUCUUAGAUGGUUUGAGAAGGAGCAUAUUAAUUAAUUGCUCAGUUUCGUUUGAGUUUGGUAGUGUAAUUAAGGUGGUGUUGAUGUGACAAGACUAACAAGUGUGGGCUGGUCUUGAUGUUGCAUGCGUGCUCUGAAUCUGAAUCUCAAGACGGUUGGUUGCAGUUGGCGAUUAACUCUGAAUAGAUGGAGUUGGAUUGGAUUGGAUUGGGUCCAAGCUCAAGCCCAAGACGAACUACCGCCUGAGCUCCCAGACAAUGCCACCUUGGUAUAUAUUUGCUUGUUCAGAUUCAGAGAGUGAACUGUCUGACGAGAUGAACAAUUUCGCCUGUAAUAAGAGAGUGUACCCUUUGUAUUUCUCGAUGGUUUGAGCACACAAAAGA